UGGGGAAUAUUGCACAAUGGGCGCAAGCCUGAUGCAGCCAUGCCGCGUGUGUGAAGAAGGCCUUCGGGUUGUAAAGCACUUUCAGCGAGGAGGAAGGUGGUGAGCUUAAUACGCUCAUCAAUUGACGUUACUCGCAGAAGAAGCACCGGCUAACUCCGUGCCAGCAGCCGCGGUAAUACGGAGGGUGCAAGCGUUAAUCGGAAUUACUGGGCGUAAAGCGCACGCAGGCGGUUUGUUAAGUCAGAUGUGAAAUCCCCGGGCUCAACCUGGGAACUGCAUUUGAAACUGGCAAGCUAGAGUCUCGUAGAGGGGGGUAGAAUUCCAGGUGUAGCGGUGAAAUGCGUAGAGAUCUGGAGGAAUACCGGUGGCGAAGGCGGCCCCCUGGACGAAGACUGACGCUCAGGUGCGAAAGCGUGGGGCAGCAAACAGGAUUAGAUACCCUGGUAGUCCACGCUGUAAACGAUGUCGAUUUUGGAGGUUGUGCCCUUGAGGCGUGGCUUCCGGAGCUAACGCGUUAAUCGACCGCCUGGGGAGUACGGCCGCAAGGUUAAAACUCAAAUGAAUUGACGGGGUCAU
rnacentral:rRNA from 1 species